CAACCCUCAGGCCCCCUGUGGACUUGGUGUUGGGGACCGGCGACAGCCUCCUGUCGCCGCCCCCUAAAUGAAUUGGCGGCCCCGUCGCGGCCCUCCUCUGCGUAGUAGCACACACCUCGCAACAGGAGCCCGUCGGUGGCCACUGCCGUAAAACGCCCAACUUUUUUCAG
rnacentral:misc_RNA from 1 species